CACACCCGUUCCCAUACCGAACACGGAAGUUAAGCUCUUCAGCGCCGAUGGUAGUUGGGGGUCUCCCCCUGUUAGAGUAGGACGUCGCUAGGC
rnacentral:rRNA from 1 species